GAGGGUGAGGCCUGCCCAAUGGUUGUAUCUAAAAGCGGUUGAUAAAAGUCGACCUCGUAAGGACAAUUGAAUGGCCGCGGUAACACUGACCGUGAUAAUGUAGCGUAAUCAAUAGCCAAUUAAUUGUUGGCCAGUAUGAAUGGCGCCACGAAGGCCCCACUGUCUUAAGGAAAUUCCCAGUGAAAUUGAAUUCGUAGUGAAGAUGCUACGUCCAAUUUGUUAGACGAAAAGACCCCGUUGAGCUUUACUGGGGCACUUACACGGGCCCGGCCUUCCAAACUAGGCUUACGAUGCCUAGGGAUUGGCCGAAUUUAAAUGGGCGGUUUAGACUAUGUGGCAGCCCCCCGUCGGGGCAGAUGAAACCCCACUCCCCCAUGUCAAAGGGGCUAACCCCCCCCUUGGGGGGGACAGUGUAAGUAGGACAGUUUGGUUGGGGCGACCGCCUUUUAAAGAGUAACGAAGGUGCGCUUAAGGUGCGCAAAUAAUGACUGAAGCCUGACUGCGAGGGGGACACCCCGAGCAGACACCCCCAAGCCCGCCCGAAGGGCGGCGGCGGGGUGG
rnacentral:rRNA from 1 species